AACAAACGCUGGCGGCGUGCCUAAUACAUGCAAGUCGAACGGGGUAGCAAUACCUAGUGGCGCACGGGUGAGUAACGCGUGGAUAAUCUGCCUUAGAGUGGGGGAUAACUAGUCGAAAGAUUAGCUAAUACCGCAUAAGACCACAAGAACUGCGGUUCAAGGGGUCAAAGGUUUUUCGCUCUAAGAUGAGUCCGCGUAAGAUUAGCUAGUUGGUGAGGUAAUGGCUCACCAAGGCGACGAUCUUUAACUGGUCUGAGAGGAUGAUCAGUCACACUGGAACUGAGACACGGUCCAGACUCCUACGGGAGGCAGCAGUAGGGAAUAUUGCACAAUGGAGGAAACUCUGAUGCAGCGACGCCGCGUGAGUGAUGAAGGCCUUCGGGUCGUAAAGCUCUGUCGCAGGGGAAUAACACAAUGAAUGUACCCUGUAAGAAAGGAUCGGCUAACUUCGUGCCAGCAGCCGCCGCGGUAA
rnacentral:rRNA from 1 species